rnacentral:rRNA from 1 species
AUUGAACGCUGGCGGCAUGCUUUACACAUGCAAGUCGGACGAGUGGCGAACGGGUGAGUAAUAUAUCUGAACGUACCGAGUCAUGGGGGAUAACUAAUCGAAAGAUUAGCUAAUACCGCAUAUUAUUCGAUCGGCCGAUAUCUGAUUAGCUAGUUGGUGGGGUAAAGGCCUACCAAGGCGACGAUCAGUAGCGGGUCUGAGAGGAUGAUCGGCCAAAAGGGGACGGAGACACGGCCCAGACUCCGACGGGAGGCAGCAGUGGGGAAUUUUGGACAAUGGGCGCAAGCCUGAUGCAGCCAUGCCGCGUGUCUGAAGAAGGCCUUCGGGUUGUAAAGGACUUUUGUCAGGGAAGCGGUACCUGAAGAAUAAGCACCGGCUAACUACGUGCCAGCAGCCGCGGUAAUAC